GAUCUUGUAGUGUAAUUGGAAGCAUGUCUCAUUUUAAUGGAGUAGAUGGGGGUUCAAAUCCUCCUUAAAUUG
rnacentral:tRNA from 1 species